UCCUCAGCUCCCCUUGUCCCCCCUUGGAAUCGUGCCGAGGGAUCUGGAGACGUCCUAGAGAGGUCUGGGGGCAUCCAGGGGGUUCUGGACUCAUGCAGAAGAGUCUGGAGAUGUCCAAGGAGGAUCCAGGGAGUCCCCAGGCCUGCCUGCAGCCGGUCCCGGUGACACCGGAGCCCUGUGGCGCUGUCACCAUCCUCUGUCCCGAGGACGGGAGGUGAACUCUGUGCCACCAGCAGAGGGGACCACGGGUGACAUCAGUGUGGAACAGCCGUGACGCGGCGGCGUUGUCAUUGGGUGUCACCUUCACGCAAAAGGGACAAAAGGACCCCCCUGGGGGCAUUGCGUCGAAGUUGGGGACACCGUGAGCAGCUUGAGGACUUCCCAGGGGAAGUGGGGGCACCGUGUCACCGUGUCACACCCCAAAGGUGGGGACACCCCCACAGUGUCACACCCCAAAGUUGGGGCACCCCCACAGUGUCACACCUCAAAGUUGGGGACAUCCGGCAGUGUCACACCCCAAAGUUGGGGACGCCCCGACAGUGUCACAUCUCAAAGUUGGGACAUCUCUGUGUCCCCCCCACAGUGUCACACCCCAAAGUUGGGGACGCC
rnacentral:lncRNA from 1 species